GACGAACGCUGGCGGCGUGCCUAAUACAUGCAAGUAGAACGCACAGUUUAUACCGUAGCUUGCUACACCAUAGACUGUGAGUUGCGAACGGGUGAGUAACGCGUAGGUAACCUGCCUGGUAGCGGGGGAUAACUAUUGGAAACGAUAGCUAAUACCGCAUAAUAUUAAUUAUUGCAUGAUAAUUAAUUGAAAGGUGCAAUUGCACCACUACCAGAUGGACCUGCGUUGUAUUAGCUAGUAGGUGAGGUAACGGCUCACCUAGGCGACGAUACAUAGCCGACCUGAGAGGGUGAUCGGCCCCCCUGGGACUGAGACACCGCCCCGACUCCUACGGGAGGCAGCAGUAGGGAAUCUUCGGCAAUGGACGGAAGUCUGACCGAGCAACGCCGCGUGAGUGAAGAAGGUUUUCGGAUCGUAAAGCUCUGUUGUAAGAGAAGAACGGGUGUGAGAGUGGAAAGUUCACACUGUGACGGUAUCUUACCAGAAAGGGACGGCUAACUACGUG
rnacentral:rRNA from 1 species